CUUUGCAUAUAGGUGGAAAGUCUUCUGGUGCCCACAGGCUCCUCUCGGUCUCUGCCCGAGUGCAGGCCGGACUUAGGGAGUUGGCUAGCUGCCUCUGCUCUAAGUCUUUCAAAUUCCGGCUCGGAAGGAGGCUCUGAUUGAGGUCCUUUGUGAGGCCUGGAGGAGCCACUGCGAGGCAAUCAAGUUUAAGGGUUCAAGCAGUUUCCAUCCAUCUCCUGGAAGCAACUGCAGGAAAACCCACUCAGAUCACAUAAGGAAAGGGGAUAAGAAGACAGAAUCUUAUUUGCUAUAGGAUUUUAAAAACUUCCUCUAAACUGUCAUCGAUAGCAUUGUUCAUCCCCAGAAACUGGCCUUUUAAGGAGUAUAGCUGCCUCGUCAAAGACGUCAGAAAUGAAGGGCUGCCAGUGCUGCCAGAAUUCAUCCAUAUGCUUAUCAACAAGCAAGUGAUUAAUAUCGGCAAAAACAAUCAAAAUGUAUGCAGUCAACUUUAUUCACUUUUCAUUGUGGUGGCAGAAAAAUGCAGGACUUGGAGUCAAGGAGGCUUGGUUUAAAUUCCACCAUUGGCAUUUAUCGGAUAUGUGACCUUGGGCAAGUAAUUUAACCUUUUUCAGUUUCAGUUUCCUCAUCUGUGAAAGUGGGAUAUUAUCACCUACCACACAGGCUUGUGUAAAGAGCAAAUGGAACAACAUUUGCAAAGUGAUUUGCAAACUUCAACAUGCUAUAUAGAUGAAAUGCAAUGUUUUUAAAUUUUAUUAUGCUUAGUUGUUUCAAUAAAGAGCUUUAUUUUUACCA
rnacentral:lncRNA from 1 species